AGUUUGAUCCUGGCUCAGAAUCAACGCUGGCGGCGUGCCUAACACAUGCAAGUCGCACGAGAAAGGGACUUCGGUCCUGAGUACAGUGGCGCACGGGUGAGUAACACGUGAAUAAUCUACCUCCGAGUGGGGAAUAACUGAGAGAAAUCUUAGCUAAUACCGCAUAACACUUACGAGUCAAAGCAGCAAUGCGCUUGGAGAGGAGUUCGCGGCAGAUUAGUUAGUUGGCGGGGUAAUGGCCCACCAAGACGAUGAUCUGUAUCCGGCCUGAGAGGGCGCACGGACACACUGGAACUGAAACACGGUCCAGACUCCUACGGGAGGCAGCAGUGGGGAAUUUUGCGCAAUGGGGGAAACCCUGACGCAGCAACGCCGCGUGGAGGAUGAAAUAUCUUGGUAUGUAAACUCCUUUCGAUGGGGAAGAUAAUGACGGUACCCAUAGAAGAAGCCCCGGCUAACUUCGUGCCAGCAGCCGCGGUAAUACGAGGGGGGCAAGCGUUGUUCGGAUUUAUUGGGCGUAAAGGGUGCGUAGGCGGUUUGGCAAGUCUUAUGUGAAAUCUUCGGGCUCAACCCGAAGCCUGCAUAAGAAACUGCCGGGCUUGAGUAUUGGAGAGGUGAGUGGAAUUUCCGGUGUAGAGGUGAAAUUCGUAGAUAUUCGGAGGAACACCAGUGGCGAAGGCGGCUCACUGGCUCGAUACUGACGCUGAGGUACGAAAGUGUGGGGAGCAAACAGGAUUAGAUACCCUGGUAGUCCACACCAUAAACGAUGAAUGCCAGUCGUCGGGUAGCAUGCUAUUCGGUGACACACCUAACGGAUUAAGCAUUCCGCCUGGGGAGUACGGUCGCAAGAUUAAAGCUCAAAGGAAUUGACGGGGGCCCGCACAAGCGGUGGAGCAUGUGGUUUAAUUCGAAGCAACGCGCAGAACCUUACCAACCCUUGACAUACUCGUCGCCGCGCCAGAGAUGGCGCUUUCAUUUAGUUGGACGAGAUACAGGUGCUGCAUGGCUGUCGUCAGCUCGUG
rnacentral:rRNA from 1 species